rnacentral:rRNA from 1 species
AACGAACGCUGGCGGCAGGCUUAACACAUGCAAGUCGAACGCCCCGCAAGGGGAGUGGCAGACGGGUGAGUAACGCGUGGGAGUCUACCCUGAUCUGCGGGAUAGCUCCGGGAAACUGGAAUUAAUACCGCAUAUGUCCUGAGGGACAAAGAUUUAUCGGUUCAGGAUGAGCCCGCGUCCGAUUAGCUAGUUGGUGGGGUAAAGGCCUACCAAGGCGACGAUCGGUAGCUGGUCUAAGAGGAUGAUCAGCCACAUUGGGACUGAGACACGGCCCAAACUCCUACGGGAGGCAGCAGUGGGGAAUAUUGGACAAUGGGCGCAAGCCUGAUCCAGCCAUGCCGCGUGAGUGAUGAAGGUCUUAGGAUUGUAAAGCUCUUUCACCGGGGACGAUAAUGACGGUACCCGGAGAAGAAGCCCCGGCUAACUUCGUGCCAGCCGCCGCAGUAAUAC